rnacentral:rRNA from 1 species
UACGUAGGGUGCGAGCGUUAAUCGGAAUUACUGGGCGUAAAGCGUGCGCAGGCGGUUCGUUAAGUCAGAUGUGAAAGCCCCGGGCUCAACCUGGGAACUGCAUUUGAACCUGGCGGGCUUGAGUGUGGCAGAGGGGGGUGGAAUUCCGCGUGUAGCAGUGAAAUGCGUAGAGAUGCGGAGGAACACCGAUGGCGAAGGCAGCCCCCUGGGCCAACACUGACGCUCAGGCACGAAAGCGUGGGGAGCAAACAGG